rnacentral:rRNA from 1 species
AGCGAACGCUGGCGGCAGGCCUAACACAUGCAAGUCGAACGGACCCUUCGGGGUUAGUGGCGGACGGGUGAGUAACACGUGGGAACGUGCCUUUAGGUUCGGAAUAGCUCCUGGAAACGGGUGGUAAUGCCGAAUGUGCCCUUCGGGGGAAAGAUUUAUCGCCUUUAGAGCGGCCCGCGUCUGAUUAGCUAGUUGGUGAGGUAAUGGCUCACCAAGGCGACGAUCAGUAGCUGGUCUGAGAGGAUGACCAGCCACAUUGGGACUGAGACACAGCCCAAACUCCUACGGGAGGCAGCAGUGGGGAAUCUUGCGCAAUGGGCGAAAGCCUGACGCAGCCAUGCCGCGUGGAUGAUGAAGGUCUUAGGAUUGUAAAAUCCUUUCACCGGUGAAGAUAAUGACUGUAGCCGGAGAAGAAGCCCCGGCUAACUUCGUGCCAGCCGCCGCCGUAAAAC